rnacentral:rRNA from 1 species
UUCCUACGGGAGGCAGCAGUGGGGAAUAUUGCACAAUGGGGGAAACCCUGAUGCAGCGACGCCGCGUGAGUGAAGAAGUAUUUCGGUAUGUAAAGCUCUAUCAGCAGGGAAGAAAAUGACGGUACCUGACUAAGAAGCCCCGGCUAACUACGUGCCAGCAGCCGCGGUAAUACGUAGGGGGCAAGCGUUAUCCGGAUUUACUGGGUGUAAAGGGUGCGUAGGCGGUCCGUUAAGUCAGCGGUAAAAUUGCGGGGCUCAACCCCGUCGAGCCGUUGAAACUGGCAGACUUGAGUUGGCGAGAAGUU